rnacentral:rRNA from 1 species
CGGAGGAAAAGAAACCAACAGGGAUUGCCCUAGUAACGGCGAGUGAAGCGGCAACAGCUCAAAUUUGAAAUCUGGCGCAAGCCCGAGUUGUAAUUUGUAGAGGAUGCUUCUGGGUAGCGACCGAUCUAAGUUCCUUGGAACAGGACGUCAUAGAGGGUGAGAAUCCCGUAUGUGACCGGCCCGCACCCUUUACGUAGCUCCUUCGACGAGUCGAGUUGUUUGGGAAUGCAGCUCUAAAUGGGAGGUAAAUUUCUUCUAAAGCUAAAUACCGGCCAGAGACCGAUAGCGCACAAGUAGAGUGAUCGAAAGAUGAAAAGUACUUUGGAAAGAGAGUUAAAAAGCACGUGAAAUUGUUGAAAGGGAAGCGCCUGCAACCAGACUUCGCGGCAGUGUUCCGCCGGUCUUCUGACCGGUUCAUUCUCUGUCGCGAGGCCAUCAUCGUCUGGGCCCGCCGGAUAAGACCUGAGGAAUGUGGCUCCCCCUCGGGGGAGUGUUAUAGCCUCUGGUGAUGCGGCGUGGCUCGGGCGAGGUCCGCGC